rnacentral:sRNA from 1 species
ACAUGUCAUUUUUCAUAUCAUACCCUUUAUCGACCCUCGUUCAUGAUAUCAGCCCUCGAGCCCAAGGCUUUUGGACUGAUAUCAUGACCUAGGGCCGAUAAAGGGUCUGAUAUGAAAAAUGCCAUGUAAUAAUC